rnacentral:rRNA from 1 species
AUUGAACGCUGGCGGCAGGCCUAACACAUGCAAGUCGAACGAGUGGCGGACGGGUGAGUAAUGUCUGGGAAACUGCCUGAUGGUGGGGGAUAACUACUGGAAACGGUAGCUAAUACCGCAUACCAUCAGAUGUGCCCAGAGGUGAUUAGCUUGUUGGUGGUGUAACGGCUCACCAAGGCGACGAUCCCUAGCUGGUCUGAGCGGAUGACCAGCCACACUGUAACAGCGACACGGUCCAGACUCCUACGUGAGUCAGCAGUGGGAAAUAUUGCACAAUGGUCGCAAGCCUGAUGCAGCCAUGCCGAGUGUAUGAAGAAGGCCUUCGGGUUAUAAAGUACUUUCAGCGGGGAGGCGUUACCCGCAGAAGAAGCACCGGCUAACUCCGUGCCAGCAGCCGCGGUAAUUC